rnacentral:rRNA from 1 species
UGGUGUGGAUUAGUGGCGAACGGGUGAGUAACACGUGAGUAACCUGCCCCUUAUUUUGGGAUAAGCCUGGGAAACUGGGUUUAAUACUGGAUAUGACCAAUCAUUGCAUGGUGUGUUGGUGGAAAGAUUUUUUGGUGGGGGAUGGACUCGCGGCCUAUCAGCUUGUUGGUGGGGUAAUGGCCUACCAAGGCGACGACGGGUAGCCGGCCUGAGAGGGCGACCGGCCACACUGGGACUGAGACACGGCCCAGACUCCUACGGGAGGCAGCAGUGGGGAAUAUUGCACAAUGGGCGAAAGCCUGAUGCAGCGACGCCGCGUGAGGGAUGACGGCCUUCGGGUUGUAAACCUCUUUCACCAGGGACGAAGCUAACGUGACGGUACCUGGAGAAGAAGCACCGGCUAACUACGUGCCAGCAGCCGCGGUAAUACGUAGGGUGCGAGCGUUGUCCGGAAUUAUUGGGCGUAAAGAGCUUGUAGGCGGUUUGUCGCGUCUGCUGUGAAAGACCGGGGCUUAACUCCGGUUCUGCAGUGGGUACGGGCAGACUAGAGUAUGGUAGGGGAGACUGGAAUUCCUGGUGUAGCGGUGAAAUGCGCAGAUAUCAGGAGGAACACCGAUGGCGAAGGCAGGUCUCUGGGCCAUUACUGACGCUGAGAAGCGAAAGCAUGGGGAGCGAACAGGAUUAGAUACCCUGGUAGUCCAUGCCGUAAACGUUGGGCGCUAGGUGUGGGGCUCAUUCCACGAGUUCCGUGCCGCAGCUAACGCAUUAAGCGCCCCGCCUGGGGAGUACGGCCGCAAGGCUAAAACUCAAAGGAAUUGACGGGGGCCCGCACAAGCGGCGGAGCAUGCGGAUUAAUUCGAUGCAACGCGAAGAACCUUACCAAGGCUUGACAUACACCGGAAUCAUGCAGAGAUGUGUGCGUCUUCGGACUGGUGUACAGGUGGUGCAUGGUUGUCGUCAGCUCGUGUCGUGAGAUGUUGGGUUAAGUCCCGCAACGAGCGCAACCCUCGUUCCAUGUUGCCAGCACGUGAUGGUGGGGACUCAUGGGAGACUGCCGGGGUCAACUCGGAGGAAGGUGGGGAUGACGUCAAAUCAUCAUGCCCCUUAUGUCUUGGGCUUCACGCAUGCUAC